GUAGUUGUUUUAACAGUGAGAGAAAGUGUUAAAGGUGAGGCGACCGACGACCUUUACAUGUUUCUCUUACAGCUCUCUGUUGUUGUGAAACUGACCUUACGUUGUGCUCUCUUACUUAGACAUGACAUGUCCACCUCUCUCUCUUUUUUUUCUCCUUCUCUCCGUCUCUCCUUUGAAGGCGUAAUGAAAUGUUUUUUUUUUGGUCUGUUCUAAUCCGCUGACAGCUCGUGUCAACACUGCGUGGAUUGGACCGGUGUGAUGACAGGUCAGGCAUUAACACGGACAGCUCAGGGACAUGCCGAGUGGCUGAGAAGGAUUAGGCCCACUGUUGCUGUGAAGCAAGGCCUUAUGAAGUAUUAGUCAACACCCUCAACCACCCAGCUCCAAGCAGUUUGAUAUGCUGCAUGCUUCAGUAUUCCCUAACCUCAACAUUUAGAGUGAUAGGGUGAAGCUUAUACCCAGGGGCUCAACAGUCCACUGGCUUACAGACAAGUUAUGAGAGUUACUUUUUCAUUUCAUAUAGGACAGAUGUAAAUGUUCAAAGCAAGAAGCAAGAACCCGUAAGUCCAGUGAUUCUCAAUCAGGGUUACUGAUAAACUGUUAAAUUAUCAAAUGCCUUUAACACCAUAGAUGUUUACAAAAUCAACAAAAAAAGAAGCCCUCUAUGAACCAUAGUUCAAAUGAAAUGAUAAAGUCUGUUGGGAGCAAAUCAAGUUAUUAAAAUGCAACAAUGUCCACAAAAAGUUGAAGCUAUAGGGGUAGAAUUAGGGCCCAACCGAUACCGGAUAUUUGGGGCCGAUACUGAUAUCAAUAUUGGGGAGAAAAAAAAAUCUGAUACCGAUAUAUCGGCCGAUAUCUUUCUUAGAUAUAUGUUCAAUCUUUAGAGAUAGAUACAUAUACACAUUUAUUGCAUUGAUCCUUCAUCUGCAGUUGUCAAACACUUGUUGAAGAAAAAAAUACAGUAGAAGGAAGAUCAGAUGGUCACACAACUGGAAAGUAACUUUGCAUGUACGUAGCGUCACAGUUUGACACUCUGGAGGGUGAUGAUGCUUGGUGUAUUCCAUAUAGCGCCCUCUGCUGGUGAAAGAAAACUGCUAGUUUAAAACAAUGAAUCUCAAAUGAAAUGCUUUUUGACUGGUCAAUAAAUCUAGUAAUAUCUGCGAUAAAACUAGCCGAUACCGAUAGUCACUGGAUAUGCUAAUAUCAGCGGAUAUUAUCGGCUGGAUGAUUAAUCGGUCGGGCUCUAGGUAGAAUGAUGCCACCACUACACUUUGCCUGUUUUGUGUUUCAUUCUUACAGUUGAAAUUAGCUUUUUGUCAUUUUUUAACCUUACAUGAUAAACAAUUUGUUAAACUGUGAGACAAAGUAUUGAAACUAAUAUGAUAACGGCCAUUUAAAGGUGACUAUUAGCUUCUGCUUAUAAGUGGAAGUAUAAGUUAGUAUGAAUGCAAACGACUCUGACCUACACAUGUAGAAUCCAAUUUAUAAUUAAGGCCAACAAUUAAAAGCUUUUAGCCUGACAAUAUCCAAUUGUCCAUCCUCGUAAAAAAUAACAGUUUUACAUCAUUUGAAUGAACACAUUAGGAACGGCAGGAAGUGUCAGUAAAGGGUUAUUUGAGUUAAAAUGUGAUUAAUUGAGUCUAAGAAUGUAUCAAAUAUUCAUAGAAACAUGUGGGGACUGCUUCAUAUGUCAAUGGAUUCUUAAACCUAUCUGCCUUCCCUGUGCCAUCUUAACUCUCUCCCAUUUCUGCCCUCUUCACAUUUCCAUACUUCCAGAGAUCAUAUUCUUACAAAAACAUGAUUACUUAAUAGUAAUUACACGUUAAGUACCUGGUCGUUCACAUGUAUCAAUUUGCAACAGAAUCGUUACAUGUGAGGCCAACAACAACAUCAUCUGAGAGACAAGGCUGGAAAGUAUCACUUAAGCAUUCAUUCUCUUGACAGAGCUCUUCAUUUCAAAGUGCUGUUUGUGUCUUUGGAGCUUUGGCCGCUGAUUUUCAGCUGCUAACCAAGCAAAACACAUGGACAUCCUUAAAGGAAGCAUUUGGCAAAUUGUUUAAGAAAAAAAAAUGCUUAUAUGUGGAAAAGCCUCGGCUUUGCCAUCUGCUGGAAAAGGGCUCUGUGGUUUUGGUGGUCGGGAACAAGGUUUCAGACAGCCUGGGUGUGCGAGUGUGUGAGCGCAAGUGUGUGGGUGUGUGUAUGUAUGUGUGUGUGUGAGGUCGGACUCAUUCACACUCUGCAUGCAGCUCCACCUGAAGUGCACCCACUCCCCCCCCUUUUUCUGUCCGCCUUUUUUCUUGACGUAAUAAAUAUCCAGCAGAUAUAAAUGUCAUACCCUGAUAUCGAUCAACUAAAAUAGGUCCUUUCUAUUGAUCUCUCCCUAUCGGCCUUUAUCGCCCUGUUGCAGCAGAAAUGAAUUCACUUCUGAAUAUUCAAUCUUGUUGACAAGGAGCUGUUAGUCCUCGCGCCUGCUGACAUUUAUACCCACAGUCUUGAGUGUUGCUGGAGGGGGAUUAAUUUAUGGGCUUGUUCGGGUCACUCAAACAGUGUAAUGCAAAGCCCCCUGCACAAGUCUUUGCUUCUGUCUCCUCAGUGUUAAUGUUUCUUUUCAGUCUGUUUCUAAAUCUCACUCCUUAUAGACAAAUUCCAUUGUCUCAAAGUCUCUUCUCUCUCUCUCUCUCUCUCUCAGGGAGCAUGUCGUAUAAUUCAGCAGUGUCCUGGAUGCGCUACCUAGACAGGAAUUUCCAGGUUUUAUUUCCUGUUUGACUCUACUACCAAUCACAGGGGAUUCUCCGCUUGAAUUCCUCUCUGCUCACAUUCUUGGAGCUGCAUGUUGCGGAGGGUGUUUUCAGACCGAUGGAACGGUUAAGGGAAGAAUUUGGAAAUGUAUAGAUCUUGCGGGCUGAAAGAAAGCUUUGUGCUCAAAACACAGGGUUCAUUGCAUUUGGAGUAUUUGAAGCUGCAUCAGUGCAGGAAGAAAACACUGGUCUGUUUUAUCCAUAAACAGCACAUCUGUCAAUGCUAAUAAACAUGACACAUGCUGCUAUUUACAUGUAAAGAGAUUUUCAUCAGACGUCAUACAAUAUGUAAAUGAAGCUGGAGGAACUUCAACGAUUUAAUCAAACACGACGUCAUAAAUUGGUGCAGGAUAGGUAUGGAUUUGAACUGGAAUGAUUUAACCCAGUCAUCAAUAUUUUGACAGCUUGUCAUUGGUCGACUUUUACCCUCCAAGCAUGACGUGUCUCAUCCAAUCAGAAAGGAUAGAUGACUGCACGAUGAGAGAGGACGACUGACCAACACUUCAGUCACAGCUACGGAGAGCAGGAAGGGAAAGUUUGACUUGUAAGUCACUCUUACUGGUUUUUUAAUUUGAUCUUAGUGGGUUUGACUAUACCAGACUGUAAAAUGAGUAAACAUAUAAAAUAAGUAUAAAAUACGAGAAUACUUACAAAAGAAACUGAAGAACUGAAAUCCAAAAUAAAUCUAAUUAAAUCUAAUAAUGUACAGUCAUCAAAUGCAACUUAACUAAAGUGCUGCACAGUUUUUAGUUAAGUUUCACUUCAGUACAUGUAAACAUCUUGUAUACAGUGAGUUGUAAAGGUUACUUCUUGCAAUACUUAUAAUUCUGUAAGAGUCCAUCUCAUUUACAUCAUCGCCUUUUCAUUAUCAAGAUUAUUGUAGGAAAAAUACAAGUGAGAUUGUCAAGUCUGCAAAAGAUACUGAUUUAGUGAGAACAAUCUUGACGGCCUCGUCUUAUAUUUCUUUUUUCUUGAUCUUUUUAAGGUAUUUAUUAUUUAUUUAUUUCACUGCCUAUCUCCUGCUCCUCACACUAGUCCAGUUAGUGGCAAUAAUGCACCGCUGCUGGCUUGCUAAUUGCCAUCAAACAACAAAGAAGAAGAAGUCUGAUAUAACGGACGGCUGAUAUUGGCUGAAUAAAAUAUGUCAGCGUAUUUGUUUUCCAAAAUGUGAUGUUGUGAAACCUUGGGGUGAUUUUUGAUGAUCACUUGAAGUAACAAAAAAAAAGAACUAUGUCGGCUUUUAUAUCAACAAUCUUUGAAACUUUCCCGUCUCAAAUUUGUACUGGUAUAGGUUCAAAAGAUCCCCCCGCAGAAAGGCUCUAGUUCAGAUUCUCAUGUGAAGAACUUUCAGGUUCUGACGCUUGUAGCGCCCCCUGUGGACAAACAGUUCAACAUGUGUCUUUGCUGAUUUUCCUUAACAUGUAGCCUUCUGGCAAAAAAAAAACUCUCUCUCUGCUUUCUUUGAAAUGUCUUGUAUACAUACAAAUCAUAUUUAAUCUUCUGUGCGUAAAAAUGUUUUGUAGGGUAUUUCUUCAACUUCUCAUGACACCUACCCCCGUGGCAGGGUGACCCGGCAUAUAAAACAAUCAAUCAAUCUUCUCUCUGAUGAUUCUGUUUGCUUUUGUAAGUCAUUAAGAGGCAUCGGUUUUUAUUUCAGUGCAAUUAACAACCAGCUAAAAACUCCUCACAGGAGCUUUAAUCAACUUAUUGAUGAAUCAGCUAAUUGUUGAAGCUUUAUAGUAUAAUAUAUUUGAGGUGAUCACUUCUUUGAACUCAGAAAUUUGAAUCAUCUUUUUAUGCUGCUGCCUUCAGGCUCUAUUUUUUCCCCACAGAUUUUCUUCGUAAAGUAUCAAAAUACAAAGUUCGUCACUUUCUCCAUUGGCAUCCAUUACGUUAUUUUUUACUCGGGUCAGGAAAAGAGAUACACACUGACGUAGUUUUAUUCGGUUGCUGUUGGUUGCUUUUUGAUGGACACAACAGAUACUUAAACCCACACCCAGUUAACCAUCACUGGUGUGUCUGGAGAGGCAGGUAAUUAUUGACUGUGUGUGUGUGUGUGUGUGUGCGCGUGUGUGUGUGUGUGUGUGUGUGUGUGGCCGUAGACUUCUCACUGGUGUCUAUCUCUGUUUAAUGUCUGACUGCCACUGUGGGUGGGAGGGUCGUGAGAACCUGCAGACACACUGAGAGUCCCACAGAGAAACACACCUAUCUUUGUCUGCUUUCAAAACUUAAGCUAAGCUCUCUCUCAGAAGGCUGUUUGAUGUUCUCAAGCUGUUUGAACUCCCUCUCCAUGUCCAUCCAAACUCCAAUGUGUCCUGUGUGUCUCAAGGCCUUCUGCCUCCACCCUGAUGAGCCCGAUCAACGGCACUAAUACCUCAGAGUGACUAUUUCCAGUUGUCAAAGCCGUGCGUCAGCCAGUAGUGAUUUCCUCUUCUCAGAUUAAGAUUGCUGCUAACGAUGAGCAGAGAAACCACAAGGAGUGGCACACUGAAGCUGCUCGGAAGUGGGAGGUUUUUUUUAAGGAUUGGACGGUUUAAAAUGUUCUCAUUGGUCGAGAUCUGGGGAGUUGCCAGACGAGCAAAAGUCCAUAUUGACUCGAUUAUAGAGUGUCUGAGGUGUGUGUGUGUGUGUGUGUGUGUGUGUGUGUGUGUGUGUGUGUGUGUACAUUUGUGUGCACUCAUUUUGAGAAACUGUUUAAUUAGUGAAACGUGGUUGUUUUCUCAGUCAAGAAGAGUAAACAAGUUGAAUGUUUGUACAUGGUGUGUCAUGUUUAAACUUUAACUUGUCUGACUGAACUCAAGGCCUAACAAAUCUUAAUGUCAUCUAUCUAUCUAUCAUAAUUUGUCUUUAUCUAGGAUACAUACAAACAUAUUAUGUACAGUCGGGUAUUUAUUUUUAAUAUUUUAAUGCAUAUAGUAAUAAGAACCUCACCUUGCAGUUUACAAUUGUGUCUAUGAUUUACUCUCAAAUGAAAAAUUGAUGAUAAUAAUAGUAAUAAUAACUUUAUUUAUAUAGCACCUUUCAAGAGCAGAGAGUCACAAAGUGCUUUACCAAAGGAUGAGAAAAAAAACAUCAACAAUAUACGAAACAGAUGAAUCAAAAGCAAGUCUCAACAAAUGGGUCUUAAGUUGCUUUUUAAAAGAGUCAGCAGUGUUCACAAAUCUUAAACCUUAAAGGCAGAGCGUUCCAAAGUGUUGGGCUAAAGCCUGAAAAGUGCAGUCUCCCUCGGUCUUCAGUCUGGUGUGUGGGCCGGUGCCUCUCCAUGCAGGGCUUUAAAAGUAAUAACAUUUAUGAUUUAUUAUUUUUAUUUAAAAAUGACUGUACUUUGAACACAACUGUAUAAUACAAUGAAUACAUUUAAAAUGUGCAGGAAAU